UACGUAGGGGCUAGCGUUAUCCGGAUUUACUGGGCGUAAAGGGUGCGUAGGCGGUCUUUCAAGUCAGGAAUGAAAGGCUACGGCUCAACCGUAGUAAGCUCUUGAAACUGUAAGACUUGAGUGCAGGAGAGGAGAGUGGAAUUCCUAGUGUAGCGGUGAAAUGCGUAGAUAUUAGGAGGAACACCAGUUGCGAAGGCGGCUCUCUGGACUGUAACUGACGCUGAGGCACGAAAGCGUGGGGAGCAAACAGGAUUAGAUACCCUGGUAGU
rnacentral:rRNA from 1 species